AGCAUCCCUUUGUAGUUAUGGAAAACUUGGGUCUGAGUGUGUUUGUAUGGCAGAAGAUCUUGUUGGAUAUUUACGUCUCAUCUUUCUCCUAUCAGAUGGAGCUCACCAUGGUGGUGGUGCAAGAGAUCUGUCACCAGUGAGACCUGUACAUUUCUGCACUUGUGACCCUGCAAACAUCAGAAUCAGCUGACAGAGCAAUCAUUUUGGUUUGCAUAAAUGGUCGGUAUGAUUUGCACUUGCCAAACUUGCUGUGCAGAUUAUGCCUGGCACGUUGGACACCUGACAUGAGUGACUUAAUAAGAAGUGGGUAUUGGUGAGGGUCUGUGAAUGCUGACACGUCGUUUUCAGUGGAUGUCUUCAGCACAUUUGAAGAAAUGUUUAUCAAGACAAGGUUUUUUGCAUGUACAGAUUUCUUCAGUCAAAAGUGUUCUUUUAAGGGUCGUUCACAUUAUAACGAUAACUAUAUUAGCGUCCACAUUAACAAUAACUUUAUGCUAAUUUGCUCACGCGCGGGGCACUCGUGCAAAUACUUGCCUUUAAUGACAUUAACUUUUAUUGGAUAUUUCUUGUUAUAAAAACUUUUGCAGUACAUGUCACUGAAUAUGUAAAUAUGCUCUUCUUGUUGCAUUUACACAGCUGGUAAUGUUAA